GUGGGGAAUAUUGGACAAUGGGCGCAAGCCUGAUCCAGCCAUACCGCGUGGGUGAAGAAGGCCUUCGGGUUGUAAAGCCCUUUUGUUGGGAAAGAAAUCCUAUCGAUUAAUACUCGGUGGGGAUGACGGUACCCAAAGAAUAAGCACCGGCUAACUUCGUGCCAGCAGCCGCGGUAAUACGAAGGGUGCAAGCGUUACUCGGAAUUACUGGGCGUAAAGCGUGCGUAGGUGGUUGUUUAAGUCUGCUGUGAAAGCCCUGGGCUCAACCUGGGAAUUGCAGUGGAUACUGGGCAACUAGAGUGUGGUAGAGGGAUGCGGAAUUUCUGGUGUAGCAGUGAAAUGCGUAGAGAUCAGAAGGAACAUCCGUGGCGAAGGCGGCAUCCUGGGCCAACACUGACACUGAGGCACGAAAGCGUGGGGAGCAAACAGGAUUAGAAACCCUGGUAGUCC
rnacentral:rRNA from 1 species